rnacentral:lncRNA from 1 species
GGGGCAGUGUCUAAGGUUUACCCUUUAAAAAGGCAUGUAGAUUCAAAGGGUGCUGUCAAGCCUCUCAAGAUCAUCAUUCUGGAAGGAGCUCUUAAAAAGGACAAAGAGAAAAAAUCGCACCUGCGUGUCAUGCUUUUCAAUAAAUGUGCUGAAGAGCUAGAAAGCGCCAAAGUUAAAAAAGGAAAUCUCAUUGGAUUUUAUGGAUUCCAUGUCAUUCCAAACGGUUCUGUAGAGUAUUCAAAAAUGUAUUCAAAACAGGAAUUUCUUCUGGAGUAUCAAUCGCUGUCAAAUGUCAUCCAAAGAGAAGGGUGAAAAUGUUCUUCUCAACAACGAGCUUGGAGACCACCUCUCAACUUGAUUCCAUUGAACAAACCAAAGAAUCAAAGAAUGAUAAGGUAAAGGUCACUAAAAGACCCAAGCUCCUCCCCUUAAGUCCUCAGCGGUCUUAUUAUGAGCCUCCAGAACCUAAAAGGAGCAAAAAUGAUGAAAGCAUACAUAUAGAGCUGAGUGAUUCUGAUGAAGGAGUAAAGGAAUAACUAGGACAACAAGGUCUAAUUCUCAAAAAUUGGGUGAAACAAAAGGAGUGGAUGGUGAGAAUAAUCGAAAUCGAUCAACUAAUGUCAGAAAAGAGAUGAAUGGUCAUCUUGAGAAAACCGUCAAAACUCUGCUGCAGCUAGUGUCACAAACGGAAAAAAAGUUGAUGUCAAAAUCAUUAAAGGAAGUGCAAAAAAUUCAAAUGAAUUUCUAACAAUCGCUAACCACCUCACUUACAAGUAUACAAAAUUAAUAGAGGCACCAAACUGCGAGAAAAUGCAUUGUUAUGCAGUUGUAACAGAAACUGGGACUCCACAUGCAGGUCCAACAAAAAAUGUUCUCAGGAUAAAGGUAACCGAUGACUCUCUGGACGAACAAGACAUCAAAGUAUCAAUAUUCUAUGAAAAGGGUUGGGAAUCUCCGCUAAUAAGAAAACAUCAAAUAAUACGGUUUCAUCGACUCAGACUGGAAUUAUUCAAUGGAAACAGGGAUGGAUCUGUCAAUUCACAAGAUUUUAUGGUAUUUAAUCCAGAAGAGUGUGAUGCAACUGCUAAAAAAAUUAGAGGGACAUCAUGGGCGAAAAAGUAUGUCACAUUUACAGAGGAAGAUGCUGAUAUAAUUUUCAAGAUGAAAGAAUGGAUAAAUUCAAAUCUAGAGGCUGAAGCUGAGACACAGUCACCUAAACACAUUGAAAAUGACAUGAUUUUGACACUAGAAGAAAAUGUUCCUGUUAUUGAUAAUGCUGAAAAAGUUGAUGCGUUAUUUGAAACCAUUGAUAAGAAGUUGUCCGCUGAAGAUUUUACAGACCUUGAAUACGAGUCUGUUUGUCACAUAUUUUGUCAGAUUGUAGAAUCCCACAAGCUAG